rnacentral:rRNA from 1 species
UACGUAGGGGGCAAGCGUUAUCCGGAUUUACUGGGUGUAAAGGGAGCGUAGACGGCCAGACAAGUCAGAAGUGAAAGCCCAGGGCUCAACCCUGGGACUGCUUUUGAAACUGCCGGGCUGGAGUGCAGGAGAGGUAAGCGGAAUUCCUAGUGUAGCGGUGAAAUGCGUAGAUAUUAGGAGGAACACCAGUGGCGAAGGCGGCUUACUGGACUGUAGCUGACGUUGAGGCUCGAAAGCGUGGGGAGCAAACAGG